UACGAACUGUGCAAACGUUAUUCGGAAUCACUGGGCUUAAAGGGUGCGUAGGCGGCUUGUUAAGUAGGGUGUGAAAUCCCCCCGGCUCAACCGGGGGAAUUGCGCCCUAAACUGGCGAGCUGGAGUGAGAUAGGGGUGUGUGGAACUUCCAGUGGAGCGGUGAAAUGUGUUGAUAUUGGAAGGAACGCCAGUGGCGAAAGCGACACACUGGGUCUCAACUGACGCUGAGGCACGAAAGCCAGGGGAGCAAACGGGG
rnacentral:rRNA from 1 species